rnacentral:rRNA from 1 species
GACGAACGCUGGCGGCGUGCUUAACACAUGCAAGUCGAACGAUGAAGCUGGAGCUUGCUCCGGUGGAUUAGUGGCGAACGGGUGAGUAACACGUGAGCAAUCUGCCCUUGACUCUAGGAUAACUGCGGGAAACUGUAGCUAAUACCGGAUACGAGAUUUGGAGGCAUCUCCGGAUCUGGAAAGAAUUUCGGUCAAGGAUGAGCUCGCGGCCUAUCAGCUUGUUGGUGAGGUAAUGGCUCACCAAGGCGACGACGGGUAGCCGGCCUGAGAGGGUGACCGGCCACACUGGGACUGAGACACGGCCCAGACUCCUACGGGAGGCAGCAGUGGGGAAUAUUGCACAAUGGGCGAAAGCCUGAUGCAGCAACGCCGCGUGAGGGAUGAAGGCCUUCGGGUUGUAAACCUCUUUUAGUAGGGAAGAAGCGAAAGUGACGAUACCUACAGAAAAAGCACCGGCUAACUACGUGCCAGCCGCCGCCGUAA